UACGGGGGGAGCAAGCGUUGUUCGGAUUUAUUGGGCGUAAAGAGCUCGUAGGCGGCUUGUUGCGUCAGCUGUGAAAACCCGCAGCUCAACUGUGGGCUUGCAGCUGAUACGGGCAGGCUUGAGUUCGGUAGGGGAGACUGGAAUUCCUGGUGUAGCGGUGGAAUGCGCAGAUAUCAGGAGGAACACCAAUAGCGAAGGCAGCUCGCUGGGACGGUACUGACGCUAAGGCGCGAAAGCGUGGGGAGCGAACGAGG
rnacentral:rRNA from 1 species